ACCUCUAGUGAGUUGUGGGGACUGAGCAAAGACCAACAUCUGCAAGUCAACCUCCCCUCUAAGCCUUAGGUUCCUCAUCCAUAAAAUCCAGCCAGUAAUAGUUUCUACAGCAAUGUCAGUGGGAAUUAAGUAAAGUACUGCCAGUAGAAUACUGAGUGUGGGGUCUGGCAACGAUAUCUAAUAAAUACUAAGAAAAUAACAAAAUAGAAUUAUUUACCUUAUCCAAGGGCCCUUGCAAAUCCCUGGAAACAAUGAGCUAGUUAGAACUACACCAAAGAACAUGAAGCUUAACACUGUCCGCCAGCCUUUGGUGCUUCCUUUUUCUUCCCAUUCCUGAAAACAGAAGCAAAACUCGCAUUCACCCACAAAGAAGUCUACCAGUAAGAUGCUCCUCCAACUUUGCUGUGUACUCCAAUCCCCAGAGCUCUUAUGACAAUGCUGAUUGUGAUUCUGAUGCUCUGGGGGGUGGGGGUGGGGUGCCUGAGAAUAUGCAGUGCUGUUGGUCCCACUGGUCCGAGGCCCACGCUUUGAGUAGCAAGACACUGAAUGAUAGAAAUGGAACCAGUUGGCCAAUGAGGAGCAGCGACAUAGGAUAGUCACAUGAGAUCUGCCAGGAGAGGAAGCUGGUCUUCUUAGAAACACCUUGGGUAAAGUGAUGUGAUGGCCAAAUGGUCCCUAUGCUUAGAUAUCUGAGCAGAGUGCCAAGGGAAGGCAGAGUUGCAGCAAAAAACGGGAGGAAGCAUCAACUUGCUUAGCAUACAAGAUACGUUUGAAGGUUGAGGAGACAUGACAGCAUUCUCAUGGAGGGGCCACUCGGCCGAGCAGGAUCCUGGGGGCACCUGUCACACAACAGAGAAGGUCUGCAGAAACCAAGAGAUACCCAGUGCAGCUGAAGCAAGGCACCGCUUGUUGCCACAGCUCUGGACAGGACAAAGAUGUGGGUGGCCAGGGUCUGAGAUGGCGCAUAAAAGGUGGCGCCCGUAAGCAAGCUGCACCUGUCAUAACCGAGUCUGCACCUCCAAGCACACUGACUGGCACAGAGCAGACAUUAAACCAGUGGUAAGUGAGAAAUGGAGGGGGCAUCCCCAUUUCCUGGCCCCCCAACUCUGGUCACGGUGGCCAGAAG
rnacentral:lncRNA from 1 species